CCUACGGGAGGCAGCAGUGAGGAAUAUUGGUCAAUGGCCGUAAGGCUGAACCAGCCAAGUAGCGUGAGGGAAGACUGCCCUAUGGGUUGUAAACCUCUUUUAUGCGGGGAUAAAUGUGUCCACGUGUGGAUGUUUGCAGGUACCGCAUGAAUAAGGACCGACUAAUUCCGUGCCAGCAGCCGCGGUAAUACGGAAGGUCCGAGCGUUAUCCGGAUUUAUUUGGGUUAAAGGGAACGUAUGUGGGUUGUUAAGUCAGUUGUGAAAUUUUGCGGCCCAACCGUAAAAUUGCAAUUGAUACUGGCAGUCUUGAGUAAAGUUGAGGUAGGCGGAAUUCGUGGUGUAGCGGUGAAAUGCGUAGAUAUCACGAAGAACCCCGAUUGCGAAGGCAGCUUACUAAGCUGUUACUGACAUUGAGGCUCGAAAGUGUGGGGAUCAAACAGGAUUAGAUACCCGUGUAGUC
rnacentral:rRNA from 1 species